AGCUGCAGGCGCCAGCGCGGGUAAGCCUGUGCGGAACCUGAGGGCUCUGGGGCGACAGGCCCAGCUGCUGCAGAGCAGGGCAGGAGGGUGUGGCCGUCCACCCGGCUCACCCACGGCUCCUGCGGCCCAGGCACGGUCUAUCCUCAGACUCCAAACACGAGUGACCGCGUUAGGACAGCACAGAACCCUCACCUCAGCUGGGAGGGAAACACUCAGACUGGUCCUACCCCGACUGUAGGUCACAAGACCUGAUUCCAGAAAGGGAGUCUCCUGCCCAGCACCCGAGGGAAGAGGGACACAGAGGCCAGGAGGACCUGAGCACACCAGCUGGUCAUGCCCGCCAAGCCUGAGCACGAGGUGGCCGGCUCCUGGGCCUUCAGAGCCCAAGCCCCCACAUAGCCAUAUUUGGAAGCUUGGUCUUCAAGAGACAAAUAUGGUCACUGCAGGACACGAGGUGGGGCCUGACCCUGCAGGACAGUGGCCUUCUCAGGGCACAGAGACGCCAGCCUCGGGACCUGCGAGCCAAUAAAUACCUGUGGUUUAGCUGCUGUCUGUCUGUGGUGCUGUCACGGCAGCGGGGCUGACCAGCAAGAGGGGAACUGAGAGUGUGGAGGCCAUGACACCCCCAGACCAGGAAGGAACAACCUGUGGACGGCUGCUCCCCACAGCCUGCAGAGAACUGCAGAAUCCAGGGCAGGGCCCUGCAGAGACGCGUCUCCCGGUGACACGUAGGACCCAGACAGCUCCCCCAGGGCCUCGGUGGUGCCCCCGCCCUGCGGCUACCAUGCUGCCCCCACACGCCUCCCUGGACCCCAGCAGGACAUUGCACGGAAGAGAGCUGAGCGACCUGCUGGGCUGGAUUCUGAGGAUGCCACGCUGUUCCAUCUCACCCCCAGAUUCUCACUCUGGCACCCCAGCCACCAUGCUGCCCGGAGGCCAAGCAGCCCCUGGAGCCUUCAGGGCCUGGAGCCAAGGCCCUGACCCCAGCACAAGUGAGUGAGCCAUGCAGAGAGGACCCUCCCCCUGACCAAGCCCCCAACUGAUGCCUUGUGGACAGAUGAGACCACCUGGCUGAGCCUGCCCACAGGAGACUUCUGAGCCAAAUACACCACUGCUGGCAACGAAGCCAGGGGCAGCCGGUUACCAAGCACCACGCUGGCCCACUCUUCCCGUGGCCCGCCGGCCACCACACGACCUGCUUAGCCACUGCAGAGGGUGUCCAGGGGUCCCAGCCACCCUGGUGUCACUAGUGUGCCACACUGUUUCUCUCUCAAAGCGUUCUGAUUUGGAUGACAAGGGGUAUCAUCAUCUCAUCUGCAUAAAGAGUCUGUCAAGGCUACAUCCCUAACCAGAGGGCAGGGCGACCCCAGAGGGGACUCGGGGACCACCUGCCUUUGGGCCCCGAUAUGUGAUUUAGCAUCCUGCCCUAUAAGUGGAAAAGAAGAAAUUGAGAAUAGAAAUGCCCCCUGAACCACAGCUUGAAUCCUGGGAUCUUAUCAAUGGUCAUGUGCGGUCAGUAAUCUCUCUAAGGUCCCUUUUUACAAGGUGCCCCUCACCUUCUAAGCCAGGAACACACAACCUCCUGAGGGGGAGAUUCCAGGAAGGAUCCUAGAAAAAAGGAUCCCAACCCUCCAUGCAUCUUGGUGGGGAAUACGUGGGGUCUCCUGUUCUAGAAGGGUCUGCAGCGGGGCAGGCAGGAAGGUGUCCAGAGCUUCAGCACCCCCAGUACCAGUGGCCCCUAUCCUGGAGGGGCUCUUGGAAGCUGGGCCCAUGCUGGUCUCUGCCAGGUCACCAGCUCCAAGUUAGACUGACCAACAGGGUGGCCCAGUUGUGGCCAGCUAGGCUCUGCCCCUGGGGCCCAUUUGGCCACCUGGCCCUCCUCCUGGGGACCCUUCCUCUUGCAGCACCCGAACCUGCCCUCGAAGCCUUGGCUAAGUGCUGGGUCCUUCUCACCUGCACCUGCACAGCAAGAAACCUUUUGCCUGUGGGCAGAGCCCUCUCACACAGCAGGGGAUCAGCACUGGAAGUCAAGGGGCUACUACCAAGGCCAGAGGGCCCCUUUCUGCUCUGGGGACACGCAGCAUCACCCUGACUCCUUCUGCUGACCCUGGAACAGGAACUAGGUGGUGGAGCUGGUGAACGCCGGCAGCAGGUCCAGCAUGCUCCCUGGUCCUGGGCCUUGUUCUCUCCUUGCACCAGGCUUUACAGAUUGCUGGAAGCCACCACUGGUUCGGGGCCCCUCCCUUCCCUGGGCCCCAGUUUCCCUGGCCAGACGGGCAUGGGACUCUGGCCUCCCUGCGCCUGGGGCUGAGGGGUCUCUGGGACACCCACGCAGACGCCCCACGCAGACGCUCGACCCACCCCACGUGGGAGCCCAACUGCGCACCCGCAGAGGGCCACGUGCAUCCGAAGCCUCCACCUUGCUGCCUUCCUUCCCGGGAGGCUCCGCCCUGGUGGCCGCCUGUGGCCUGGACUUCCUGGAGCCCGCCUGGUUGGCGGCGACCUGGGGCUUGGGCAACCUCCAGGCCGUCGGGUGCUGGAGCCCUUGGAGACCGGUCCGGCCUCCCCGGACCGGGUCACUGCGGGCGCUGCAGCAGAGGCCGCCUGUCCGGGUUGGCAGGGUUCUGGAUUCAAACCGGCGCCCGCCGCGCAGAACCUCCGCUCCCCUCGGUCGCUGGAGAGACGGCGACGAGUGGGCGGGGCCUCGCCUGUCCCCAGCCGCUCACCUGGGGCUCUCGCCCAGCCACGCAGGGCUGGAAAGCAGGCUCCACUGCUGCCCCCGGCCACCCGGGGCUCACCCUGCCGAGGCCUUCCAGGUCUGUGCAUCCUAGAAUCCAGGCAGCAAGCCUCACCAAGCCCUCUUAGUCGGUUUCCAACCUGUA